GCCCUCGUGGUGCAAUGGUUAAGCACUUGGCUGCUAACCGAAAGGUUGGGGGUCUGAACCCUCCCAGUGGCU
rnacentral:tRNA from 1 species